UACGUAGGGAGCAAGCGUUGUCCGGAAUCAUUGGGCGUAAAGCGCGCGUAGGUGGUCCCGUAAGUCCGCUGUGAAAGUCAAAGGCUCAACCUUUGAAAGCCGGUGGAUACUGUGGGACUAGAGUACGGAAGAGGCGAGUGGAAUUCCUGGUGUAGCGGUGAAAUGCGCAGAUAUCAGGAGGAACACCGGUGGCGAAGGCGGGUCUCUGGGCAUGUCCUGACGCUGAGGAGCGAAAGUGUGGGGAGCGAACAGG
rnacentral:rRNA from 1 species